rnacentral:rRNA from 1 species
UACGGGGGGGGUAAGCGUUGUUCGGAAUUACUGGGCGUAAAGGGCUCGUAGGCGGCCAACUAAGUCGGGCAUGAAAUCUCUCGGCUCAACCGGGAGAGGUUGUCCGAUACUGCUGGACUUGAGGGCAGUAGAGGGUGGUGGAAUUCCGGGUGUAGUGGUGAAAUGCGUAGAUAUCCGGAGGAACACCAGUGGCGAAGGCGGCCGCCUGGACUGUACCUGACGCUAACACGCGAAAGCGAGGGGAGCGAACGGG